UACGUAGGUGGCAAGCGUUACUCGGAAUCACUAGGCGUAAAGCGCAGGUAGGCGGUUUGGUAAGUCUUUUGUGAAAGCUCCCGGCUCAACUGGGAGAGGUCAAGGGAAACUACCGGACUAGAGUGUGGUAGGGGAUACUGGAAUUCCUGGUGUAGCGGUGAAAUGCGUAGAUAUCAGGAGGAAUACCUAUGGCGAAAGCAGGUAUCUGGGCCAUCACUGACGCUGAGCUGCGAAAGCUAGGGGAGCAAACAGG
rnacentral:rRNA from 1 species